UACGAAGGGGGCUAGCGUUGCUCGGAAUCACUGGGCGUAAAGGGUGCGUAGGCGGGUCUUUAAGUCAGGGGUGAAAUCCUGGAGCUCAACUCCAGAACUGCCUUUGAUACUGAAGAUCUUGAGUUCAGGAGAGGUGAGUGGAACUGCGAGUGUAGAGGUGAAAUUCGUAGAUAUUCGCAAGAACACCAGUGGCGAAGGCGGCUCACUGGCCCGGUACUGACGCUGAGGUGCGAAAGCGUGGGGAGCAAACAGG
rnacentral:rRNA from 1 species